rnacentral:lncRNA from 1 species
CUAUAUUCACUCCUUAUUGAACCGAUCCCAAUUCAUUGAUUUUCUCAUUGAAUCGAACCAUUAUCUAGGUGUUCUUACCUAGUAAUCCACUCAAUCUCAGUUUAUCAAUUCCAUUUUGUCUUUAUGUUUGCAUAUGCUUUGUCUAGCUUGCAAUACCAAGUUUUGAUGACUCAACAUAUUUUUUAUUGUAUAUUGCCUUAUUUGAUUUCUCUUAUGUUCUUUAGUUUACUUUUUAUGACUUAGAUUAUUAUUGAUAGGAUUUUUCC